UACGUAGGGGGCGAGCGUUGUCCGGAUUUAUUGGGCGUAAAGAGCUCGUAGGCGGUUCGUCGCGUCGGCUGUGAAAACCUGAGGCUCAACCUCAGGCCUGCAGUCGAUACGGGCGGACUUGAGUACUGCAGGGGAGACUGGAAUUCCUGGUGUAGCGGUGAAAUGCGUAGAUAUCGGGAGGAACACCUGAGGCGAAGGCGGGCUACUGGGCUGAUACUGACGCUGAUGCGCGAAAGCUAGGGGAGCAAACAGG
rnacentral:rRNA from 1 species